rnacentral:rRNA from 1 species
GAUGAACGCUGGCGGCGUGCCUAAUACAUGCAAGUCGAGCGAACAGACGAGGAGCUUGCUCCUCUGACGUUAGCGGCGGACGGGUGAGUAACACGUGUAUAACCUACCUAUAAGACUGGGAUAACUUCGGGAAACCGGAGCUAAUACCGGAUAAUAUAUUGAACCGCAUGGUUCAAUAGUGAAAUACGGUUGUGCGGUCACUUAUAGAUGGAUCCGCGCCGCAUUAGCUAGUUGGUAAGGUAACGGCUUACCAAGGCAACGAUGCGUAGCCGACCUGAGAGGGUGAUCGGCCACACUGGAACUGAGACACGGUCCAGACUACUACGGGAGGCAGCAGUAGGGAAUCUUCCGCAAUGGGCGAAAGCCUGACGGAGCAACGCCGCGUGAGUGAUGAAGGUCUUCGGAUCGUAAAACUCUGUUAUUAGGGAAGAACAAAUGUGUAAGUAACUAUGCACGUCUUGACGGUACCUAAUCAGAAAGCAACGGCUAACUACGUG